CACGUAGGGUGCGAGCGUUGUCCGGAAUUAUUGGGCGUAAAGAGCUCGUAGGCGGCGUGUCGCGUCGGCCGUGAAAACCUGCAGCUCAACUGUGGGCUUGCGGUCGAUACGGGCAUCACUGGAGUUCGGCAGGGGAGCCUGGAAUUCCUGGUGUAGCGGUGAAAUGCGCAGAUAUCAGGAGGAACACCGGUGGCGAAGGCGGGACUCUGGGCCGAUACUGACGCUGAGGAGCGAAAGCGUGGGGAGCAAACAGG
rnacentral:rRNA from 1 species